rnacentral:rRNA from 1 species
UACGAAGGGGGCUAGCGUUGCUCGGAAUCACUGGGCGUAAAGGGUGCGUAGGCGGGUCUUUAAGUCGGGGGUGAAAUCCUGGAGCUCAACUCCAGAACUGCCUUCGAUACUGGAAGACUCGAGUCCGGGAGAGGUGAGUGGAACUGCGAGUGUAGAGGUGAAAUCGUAGAUAUUCGCAAGAACACCAGUGGCGAAGGCGGCUCACUGGCCCGGUACUGACGCUGAGGUGCGAAAGCGUGGGGAGCAAACAGGG